rnacentral:tRNA from 1 species
GCGAAAGUGGCGGAACUGGUAGACGCGCCAGAUUUAGGAUCUGGUAUCGCAAGAUGUGAGAGUUCGAGUCUCUCCUUUCGCACCA